rnacentral:lncRNA from 1 species
AACAGACUGAAUGUGCCGCUUACGAUUGUAAAUGGUAUAGCAGUUUCUAAAGACCUCGUAGACCCAUGGCCAUUGGAAUGACUUCCAUAUGAGGUUCCUGUGGAGUUGUUCUCGAGCAGUUGCAUGUUUGGGACGAUUAUUUGUUUCUGCUUAUACCUCUAGGGUUUAAUCUCUUGAAAUAUUUUCGUUCGGUCUUGUUUCCGUCUGGCCGACGAUGUGCUUGUUGCACGGUCAGGUUGUCAAUGGGAGAAUAAUAAGGUGUUCUUCAUUUUAAAUAAGCGUUUCGAUAUUAUGCGUCUGUGCAAAGCAAGUGCAAUUUGUCUAUAAUUGUGGUUGCAUUGUGUCGAUGCCCAUUACAGCGCAGAUGCGCAUUUAUAUUGUACUUUCUUCAAAAGCAG